AGUGCAUCCUCUGUUAUAGAAGAGAAGACAGGAUAUAUGGAUACAUCUGGAGCUCCUGCGCAGAUAAGAAUUUUUGGAACAGAGAUAUAGUAGAACAUCUAGAAUCACUGGAAGUAUGCACUAGGGGACAGUCCUACACACUGGAGUAUUUGACCAUAUCAGAGCUGGACACAGAAGUCCUGGAAUAGAAGA